rnacentral:lncRNA from 10 species
AUAAUGGGUUUGGUCCCGUGCACCACAGCAUUACCCUGGCCAGCUUUGUCCCUUGGCUCGCGUUGGAGCUGCCCGCUCAGCAGAGGAAGGCGUUAGAAUCUGGAAGGAGUUCCGCUCUGGGAAGUGGGCACACUGCGAGUGUCCAUAGGUUUGAGUGGCGAGUUUCGAAGGGGAGUGGGCAACAAGGUAGGGACUAGACAGAGACUGGGAGGAUCAACAUGGAAAACGACAUUAGCCUGCUAAGCCACCUUGGCAGCUGCUCUGGCAUUGAUUUCAGUCAAGAUGUCAGCGUGUGGUGUUGCUGCUGUUGCCUUUGCUGGGCUGGACAACCAGUUAGAGAUGUAAACAGGCCCUUGGACUUAAUGAGGAUGCUCAGCAAAAAUCCUCCUUACCAAGUGUGCAGAGGUUAGUCACCUCAACUGAAUUUACUUCUUAUUAAAAGAAACAAAAAUAUUGGGUUUUAUGCAAUCUAUUUGAACACAUAACACAUGGCUAUACAUCCAGACAGGAGGACUUCAUGCCAAAAAAGCAAACAAACAAACCCCCCCGCAAAAAACCCUUUCUCAAAAGACAGGGUAUUUUAACAGUAAUUAUUGUGCACAAAGUAAGUAAAUUUUGAUUAAAAGACCAUAAAGAUUACUAGUAAGAUACCAAUUUCUGAUAUUUAUUUUCAAACACAUGGCUAAUCCUGUAAUCCAAUUAUCUUUCCCUAAAUGAAUCCUGCCUAUCAUUUCAUGUGAGAUUGUUAAAAGAUUUAUCUGGAAUCUCAUAAUAUAUUGAACAAUACUAUAAUAUCUAGUUUCUACAGCUCACAAUAAAUCACAAACCAUUUUCACCUGUGUCUUCCAGCUUCUGAGACAGGAUGGAAAAUAAUAUUUCACAGACGGAAAAAGUUAAGGCAUGAGGAGCUAAAGAGGUUUAUCCAAAGUCACUAUCAGGAACUUUGGUGUUUAGUCCAAUGUGUUUAGGGCUAGAUCUCACUAGUCUUUCUUGAUGAACAGUAUCCUCUUUAAGGAAAGAUUUCCAAAGGUAUUCCAGAAACACAAAAUUUUCAGCCACAA